UGAACGUCGUGUUAAGUUCUCGCUUCUCAGAGUCCUGUGGACAAUGACUGAGGAGACAAACCAUGCAGGAAACAGCUCUCUGCAGCAAGCUGUCUGGAUCCAGACAUUCGCUUGGGAUUCCUAAUGCCUUGAUUUGAGGAGAGAAGAUGAACCUCACCUAACUUUGAAAUUAAUAUUUAAUGCUUUGAGGUCCCUUACUUGCAGGGAGAUGUGGUAAAGUGAGUACCCUGCAGUUCGGGGAGAUAAACCUGCAGUUUGAAAAUGUUAAGAUUACACAGAACACUCAAUCCUGGAACUAUCUUAAAAAGCAGCAGAGUCAUAGUAUGUUGCCCAGAUGCCCAUUGAAAUUAGAAGGAAUUAUAUGUGACAGGUGUGGGGGGUGGCCCUAGAGAUCCUCUCAGGUUUUCUACGAUGUGAAAACCAGUCAACAGUGGGUUUUCUGACAAGUGGAAGUAUGAGGACCUAUAUAUUUUAAUAAAGAGAUGCAUGACAGUUUCUACUGUGCUCAUGAAUUAUAAUAAAAAUGACUAUAUACAUA
rnacentral:lncRNA from 1 species